ACUUUAACUUUUUUUCACUAUUAUCUAACUUAAAGAGAGACCUAUCAGAGGAUUUUGGGCAUGGAAAACAAUCAAAAAUACUUCCUUUUUGUCGCACACAAUAGGCACCUUCACAAGGAGCCAAUGUGUGGAAGGAUAGGGAUAGGGUUUUAGGUUUAAAUUCAAAUAUUUUGAAUUUAAUUUAAAACCAACCUUAUCCUAUCACUAAUGGGUGACAAAGGAAGGGUUUUGGCAUAGAUUAUUUAGCACACAAACCAAUUUGUGUGAUGAAACAAGGGG
rnacentral:lncRNA from 1 species